UUUCCGGUUGAUCCUGCCGCCGGCCACCGCUAUCAAGUUCCGACUAAGCCAUGCGAGUCAAGGUAUCGUAAGAUGCCGGCACACUGCUCAGUAACACGUGGACAAUCUAACCUUGAGUAAGGGAUAACCUCGGGAAACUGAGGAUAAUACCUUAUAAUUGCUUAAAACUGGAAUGUUUAAGCAAUAAAAGUUCCGACGCUCAAGGAUGAGUCUGCGACCUAUCAGGUAGUAGGUGGUGUAAUGGACCACCUAGCCUCAGACGGGUACGGGCCCUGGGAGGGGUAGCCCGGAGAUGGACUCUGAGACAUCAGUCCAGGCCCUACGGGGCGCAGCAGGCGCGAACACUGUGCAAUGCGCGAAAGCGCGACACGGGGAGCUUGAGUGUCUUGGCAUAGCCAAGACUUUUCUCAUUCCUAAAAAGCAUGAGGAAUAAGUGCUGGGUAAGACGGGUGCCAGCCGCCGCGGUAACACCCGCAGCACAAGUGGUGGUCACUUUUAUUGAGCCUAAAGCGUUCGUAGCCGGUUUUGUAAAUCUUUAGAUAAAGCCUGAAGCUUAACUCCAGAAAGUCUAAAGAGACUGCGAGACUUGAGAUCGGGUGAGGUUAAACGUACUUUCGGGGUAGGGGUAAAAUCCUGUAAUCCUGGAAGGACGGCCAGUGGCGAAAGCGUUUAACUAGAACGAAUCUGACGGUAAGGAACGAAGGCUAGGGUAGCAAACCGGAUUAGAUACCCGGGUAGUCCUAGCUGUAAACAUUGCCCAUUUGAUGUUGCUUUUCCGUUGAGGGAAGGCAGUGUCGGAGCGAAGGUGUUAAAUGGGCCGCUUGGGGAGUAUGGUCGCAAGACUGAAACUUAAAGGAAUUGGCGGGGGAGCACCGCAACGGGAGGAAUGUGCGGUUUAAUUGGAUUCACCGCCGGG
rnacentral:rRNA from 1 species